UAAUAUGAAAAAAAAUCAAUAAAUGUGUUGUAUUUUUACAUAUAUCUUCAAUUUGAAUUAUUGAUAUUAUUAUUUAUAUACAUAGAGUAUUCAGUAAGGAAACGGGUUUCUAUUGUUUUCAUUAUUUGGAACAAUUGACCUGUUUCCUUACUUACUGAACACUCUGUAUAUGUGUUUAUAUAUAUAUAUAUAUCCCGAGUAGCAUUAUUUUGGUUCACGGUCGGUUCAAGCGACCCACGAGUGCUGGGAGAGUUCUAUGUUCAAUAAUGAACCGUGUAAUUUUUUAUAAGUUCCAGGAAAGUUCAGCGUUCAAUAAAUAACCGAACAAUUUUUAGUAAGUGCUGGGACCGUUCAAUGUUCAAAAUAAUUGUACGGAUUCAUCAAAGUUCUUUCAUUAUAAUGAAAGAAUCGUUGUAACGGUUAUAGCCAUUCAAAUAGUUUUAUUCACUUAUAUUGUUAUUAAACAUAUUAUCCCUUGAUUAGUACAUUAAUAAAAAAAACUUUAAAAUAAUAGUUAUAAAUUAUUUUCAUUGAGACUAUAGCGCAAAUUUAACAUACGAACUUUUGGCGGAAUAACCAGACGUGUCAGUAACCGUUGACCAACAGCUUUAGUUCGCGCGAUUUUUAUUUGUUAUUUAAUUUUUACUGUGACAUUUUUUCAAAUUAUCAACGAUCGUUUUACUCUCUUUACAAAUUAUGUUUUGAGACAUUCGCCAUUUUCACAGCGACUAGAUAACUUGUCAAGACUGCUCUUUAUCCCUGUUCACUCUCACAUAUAUAUUUAACUGAAAAGUUCAAUAAAAUGUAUAUUAUUUUAAAUAAAAUUAUUCUUUGGGAGCAUGUUUUAUUUAACUUGAAAGGUUGUUCUAUUGAAGUAUUCUUAUCUUCCCUUCUUAUUUAUAUUAUUUGGGAUACAAUUACUAGAGCCUAUAUUAAUACUGAAAAAUGUUUUGUUGCUUAAAGUGGGUACCAUUAAAAGUUUCAGUGCAUAUACGAGAACAGCAUUUGAUUUUUGUAUGACAAGAGAAAUGGCCGCAAAUUUUAGUUUUUGUGACAACACCAAACAAGCUUUUAAUAAGCUUCACAUUUUUUAGAUGCUAUGUCUGGCUAAAUCAUAAUACCUGAACACGAAAGAACAUUUAACAAAAUAAUAGCUAAUAUUUUAAAGCAUUCUGGUAAUAAAGCAUCACAGCAAUAAAAUCCUUUUUUUUUUUAUUAUUCAAUCAACAUUUCAUUUUUUUGUAAAUGAUUUUUAAAAUUUAUUCACUUAGAUUAUUUCGCAGUUUUUUUAUUAAUAGUGAAAACAAAGUAUAGCAUUUAGGAAACGAAAUAAAAACAGUAAAAAAAAAAACAUGGUAAUUUUAUGCCAUUUUAUUGAAUGCUACUUAUAUGUUUUACUUCUUUUGUUGUACUUAUGGCAAUGAUUUUCUUUUAUUCAAUUUCAUGGAAAUUAAAUUAAAAUUACUAAUUGUUUUUAUAACCACAGUAAUAUUUUUUGUUAUAUCAACUAUUGCAAUUUCACAAUUUACUAAUACUGUACUAAUAUUAACUAUAUAUUUCUUGUCUAAACUCUAUAACACCUUAGUGAUUAAUUUAUUAUGAUAAAAUAUUUUUAUUGGAUUUUUUUGGUAUAUAUUGUACAACAAUAAAUCAAACUGAGUUACAGUAAAUAAAUUGCUGACAUUGCUAACAUCAUUAUUUUUAUUUAAAAUUAACUAUUGUUAUUAAUUUAUAUUAAUUAUUAUCAAAUUGUAUGAAUGGAUUGUUUACUAAUUAUCAUUUAAUAUAAAAUAAACCUAAAAUUCGAAGGUUAACUAUUUUAUUUUAUAUUUACAUAUAAUAUAUUUUAUUUUAUUUUAUACAUUGUGUAUAUAGUAAUACAAUUUAUUAUUUUAAAAUUAUAAAAUGUUUGAAUAUUUACAAAACCUAUACAUUUAAUUUAAAAUACCGUAACUGCUAAUGAACUAAUGAACUCUUAAUGAAUCGUCGUAGAGCUUGCUUUUAUUGAACUAAUGAACGAUUAUUGAACUGUUAUCGAGGGUUUUAUAGUUGAACCGAGGGACGGUCUUUGAACUCUUUCUGAACUUUUGUAGAACUCGGUUCACCCCAUGUUAAAAUCCGUAUUCAAAUCUCAUUUUGAACCGUGCUGUGAACGGGUUUUGAACUGAGUUCAGCACCGUUGUUACUAUAUUAAAUGAACCCAGUAUGAACUCGAAUUGCUACUCGGGAUAUAUUUAAGAACUAUUAUGAUGAAUCUCAUAUUAAAAGGCAACCAGCUUAAUGUAAACCUCCCUGGAA